rnacentral:rRNA from 1 species
CGCGUAGGCGGUAAUGUAAGUCAGACGUGAAAUCCUUCGGCUCAACUGAAGAACUGCGUCUGAAACUGCAUGACUAGAGUGCAGAAGAGGGAAACGGAAUUCCAGGUGUAGAGGUGAAAUUCGUAGAUAUCUGGAGGAACACCGGUGGCGAAGGCGGUUUCCUGGUCUGACACUGACGCUGAGGCGCGAAAGCGUGGGGAGCAAACAGGAUUAGAUACCCUGGUAGUCCACGCCGUAAACGGUGGGUACUGGGUGUGGGAGGUGUAAUGCCUUCUGUGCCGAAGCUAACGCGUUAAGUACCCCGCCCGGGGAGUACGGCCGCAAGGUUGAA